rnacentral:lncRNA from 1 species
GUCAAAUGUUAACUCAAGUCCCCCCCUUCUCCUUCCUGGGGCCCAAAAGUCGUUGGUGCCUAGUAGGGAACUUGAAGUGCGGGCGGGGCCAUCGGUCAGACGGGGCCAUUGGUCAGGCUGGGAAGAGGCCCAGGAUGGGGAGGGACUCCUUGCCCUCUGUUCCCCUCCCCCAAACCAGCAGGAAUGUGGAGUUCGGUUCCUCUCAGGAAGUAGAGAAUCAAGGAACAGAGAACACGGUAAUACCAGCAGGAGGGGUUGGGAGGGGGACGUUACUUAACAGCAGAAGACUGAAGGUGGGUGAGUGGGAAGGCCUUUUGUGGAGAUGUGAGAUCUGGCCUAAGCAAGAAGUGCAGAACAACCCCAGAUGGCCCUGUCCCUUCCCCUCAAACUCCUGGUUCCAGCAAGUUCUGUGUUCUUGGAAGGAUUUGGGGAGGUGUGUAUGUUGGGAGGGAACUCUGCUGAAAGAAUGUGGAAUAUAACUUUGGGGUAUAUUCUAGAACAGGGAUUUUGUGGUGGUGGUGAUUCUGAUGGAAUUCUUAGCAGGCAUUUGGGAUGGGGGAUGAUGAUUUGACAUUCACACAGUUGGCAGGGACCUUAGAGGCCAUUCUAUUUCAACCCACACCUGAACAGGUGACCCAGAACCAGGCUGAGGAUGAAGGAGGGAAGAUGUUUACUGCCCCUCCUCCCAUCUUCCCCAGGUAUUGAUGGAGCGUGGGCUGAUUGGGCACACACUCAGAUCAGAGACAUUCCCCAUUCUUCAGCUCUGCUCAGGCUGAAACUUAAUCCUCCCAUCCCUGGGCAGCCUUUGGGAGGAAGAGAGGGAGGGGGUGUGUUGAAUGUGUGUUUGGGGGUGGGGGGCAGUGAGGGAGAAUAAAAGAGGCACUGACCUUAGGUGCCUUAGGCUA